GUGAAACUGAAAGCUAUAGCAGACAAACAGGGAGAGAAAAAUCCAUACGGGCGAGACAGAGAUUGGAAUUAUGCAAGCCUGGGAACCCCUCACCACUAGCAGCCAGCAAGCAAGAGAGAAGGGAGGAUUCCACUACAGGUUCCUGGGGAGCAGCGCCCCACUGUGUAUGGCAGACAACGGGCUGGACAUGCGGAACCCCUUGUACCUGAGUGCCUGGAGCACAGCUAGUCCUCGAGUUCCUAGAUAACUUUUCUACUCUGGACUACAACAAACAUUUCCAGAGGAGAGCUCUUUAGAGUUUAUAGAAUUUUCUUUGUAUGUUGGUGUGACAAAUGAAUCCACACAAUGCUCAGCCUAUGUGUUUAACUUUUUAAGAAACUGCCAGCAGUCUUGCAAAGUGGUUACAGCAUUUCUCAGUCUCGUAAGUAGUGUAUGAGAGUUUCAGUUGCCCCACCCAUAUCCUCACCUACAUUUGAUAUUGCCAGUUUUUACAAUCAUAGCUGCUCAAGUUGAUGUGAAAUGUCUCAUUACGAUUUUAUCUUGCAUUUCCCUAAUGACUAAUCAUAUUGAUUAGUUGACUUUUGUAUGUGCGUGUAUGCAUAUAUAUGUGUGUGUGAUAUGCUAUUCAUUAUCUUGAUUACAUAUUCUUUCCUAAAGAUUCUGCGAUUGUCCUUGUAACAAUAAGCAUUAAUUAACAAUGAGAAAUAACUCCUGCAGUCAAGAAUGGGAUUAGCUUCCUCUGAGGAAGAGAACUUCAUGGAACAUGGAGAAUAUGGAUGGAUAAAAGAAAAAAAGUCAGAAUUUCAUUAUGAAGAAAAAGAGAAGAUAUUUCAUAGAGAGGAGAGAUGAUAGAAAAGAGUAGGGCCAAACUGGUGGUUCUCAAGCCAAGAUGCACCUCAAAAUCAUUCUUUUAAAACACCAAUUAAAAUCCAGUAUCUUCUGGAUCCACUGGGACAGAGGUUGGGCUGUCAAGGCUCUGGGUGGCCUUGUCCCUGUUGGGGCUCUCUGCCUGAAGCUUCCAUCGCAAUGUUGGCGGUGCUACCUGUUUGGGGCAGCAGAGGGGGGGACCCAACCUUCAUGACUCUGCUGAGUAUUGCCCUAACAGGGGUCUUUUGUGGUGGCCCCCUACUUGGGGAGAGAGCUCUCUUGAACCUCGUUUAAUAAAAGCACUAAUUCCGUUCAUGAGGAUGCUGCCUUCAUGACCUAAUCAGCUCCCACAGGCCCACCUCCUAAUACCAUGCCAUUAUGUAUUAGGCUUCAACAUAUGAAUGUGGGAGACACACAUUGAGACCACAGCAUCAUGGAAUAUAUUUAAAAUGAAAAUCCGUAGGUUCAAAUUCAAAUUCUAGUAAUUCAGAUUUAGUAGGUCUAGAAUGAAGUCUAGGAAUCUACUUUUUUUUUUUUAAACAAAUUUACCAGCUGGCUCUGAGGCAGAAUAUUUUUAAAUAAGAGGAGCCCUUAUCAACCAUUGACAAAAUUUCCUCUACACACAUAUGUACCCAAGGACCCCUUGCUACUCGGGCACUCUUCAGGACCUUCAAGUUGGGCACCACUGGUGGAGGAUGCAUUACUGAAGGAGUAUUCAUAGGUCCACAUGCAACACUAGAAGGGCCCCCAGGAAUAUGCACUUGGGACAGUGGAUGGGUACAAAGUGGCAGCCACAUGAGACACAAGGAAAACACUGGUCCAACUGGACACUGAAGAGGCACACAGAACUGUUCACAGGAGACAUUUAUGAAGCACAUCAGAACAUCUAUGUGGGUAAUGGAGGGGCAAACAGGCCCAUGCAGGACAUGGAAGGACCACACAGGAAUGUCCCCACGAGACACUGAAAUUUAGUAUGUAUCCACAAGGGGCUCUGAAGGGUCCCCUGUGUUCUUGUAGGACACUGAGGGAGAAAGGGGGUGAGAGAAUGCCACAGAGACACUGAUUAACCAGGGCUGAGGCACCAGGAAGAGAAAAAUGCAACCUACAGAUAAGGUUCUUGAGUUUGUGAGAUCCCAAGAGGGAGAAACCUUGUUUUAUGUACCAUCACGUCAUUAGGAUCUAUCACAGUGACCGAUUAUGUACUCAAUACAUAGAGUGACCAAGUAAUUUAUCUCCCAAACUGGGUUGCCCUUGGUCAGAAAAGGGGGUACCAUUUAUAACUAUGCUGAAACCGAAAGCAUAAUCUAAGACCCAUUCUGGGAAAGCUGGGAAGUACAGUUUCCCUACCAAUGAAUCUUGGGUAAGUAGGUGGGUGAAUGAAUGAGGGGAGUUCUUUUUGAGUGGAAAGAAUAAAUAAUAACACCAUCAACUGCUCUAUCAAACAGGAAAAAAAGGCCUUCUUGCAGGUGACAAAGCAGGGGUGUUGAGGCUAGAAGUGUCUGAAGUCUUUUCUGUAAAGUGGCUUCUGCGGUCUUUGAUGAGCACAGCACAGCGGGGGAUGAGUAGAGCCCUCGGCCUGUAGCUGCAGUUGCUUAUCAGAUGCUGUGCUCUCAGUAAGACUUGCCUUUUUGUGAUGGUUAAGAGUGGGGUGUGAUGGAGAUGAGGGCAGGGGCUAACACAGUCCAAGGGCCAGCUCCCAGGGCUAUUGCAGAUAGAGGGGUGGGGCAUGGCUCAGUCCUCCAGGCAGCCCUCGUGAGCUGUGCUGGGUGGGGUGAGGCCUUCCAUCUCCUCCGCAGAGGGCAGAAGUUGAGAUGAACUCAGAAAGGAGAGGGAAUGAGGGAACAAGAAGCACAGCCUCCAGAAGGGGCCCCUUCACACUAAUUGUAAAGAAACAUGAUGCUUGUUAAUCAGAAACGGGUGUUUAAAGAGGUACAAGCAGGAAGAGUGUAAAAGAGAAAAUAUCAGGACAAGAGGAAGUAGCUCUGUGCUCGCCUCCCCCAGCCCCUAGCCCUGGACGCCAUGCUGUGCCUUCCAUAAUAAGGCUGAACCUGGCCAUGCCCAUGGCCCCUGACUGCAGUGGUCUCCUCUCCCCAUUUGAGAGCAGAAGGGCCACAGUCUUGGAGAGGAGGAAAAGAUCAGGUGGCGCUCCCUGCAAGACUGUUCAGGCGUGUUUAGCCACGCAUCUCAGGAGAUCUCAUGAGCUGUGUGCCCAUGGCAGGCAGGUUAACUUCUCUGAUACACAUUUCUCUUCUGUAAAGGUGGGAUUGUAACAGACGUGUGGCAUUCAGGGUAACCCGAGGGUGCAGGUGAGAUAGGAAUGAAGUUUCCUCCCCUUCCUCCAGACUGUCUGCCAUUAGCACUACCGCCUGGAAGACUGAUGGGUUCAGUGAGUUGAACCCUGAGUGGAUGAUAAAAAAGGACCAGGAGGUUUACUUGAUGGGAGGAGAGAGAAGGCAAUUCAAGUGUAAACUCACGGGAGAACACUUUUCUAGCACUCUCCCUAUUCCAGUAGAAUAUGCACCUCCCUGUUUUGUGCCUUGCCCCUUUGUUUUCAAGGAACCUGUGACACUUUAUAGCAUGUAAAAUUUAUUAUAAGUUGGACUCCAUCAUAGGAGUGUCUCCUGAAUAGUCAGAGGGCAUCCUAUUGUCUUUGAUUCCCAAAGCUGAGUUCCUAGCUCUUAGAAAGUAAGCAGUACAAAGGGAUGGAAAGAGAGAGAUAAAGGGACUGGCAGGAGCCCCAUGCAGAGGUGUUGGUGCAGGAAGGGAGUGGGCGGGUAUGGGUGCUGAGAGGGCUUCCCGGAGGAGGGGGUGCCUUGUUGGCAGACCCUGGCACUGGAUAGCAGGCCUGACAGUUCAAUCAGGGAAAGGGAAUGUGCUGGAGAGGGUGAGGAGUUUCCAUAAUACAUCCCAUGUGAUAGUCCAGCCUAAACCAGGUCCCAGGUACCACAAGUGGGCAGCAUCUCGGGCAAAGCUUGCAGAGAACCUAAGACCAGGAAGUCUGUUUUUAAGCUGUGAUAAGCAUAUAGGUGUGGGAAAGGAGGUCUGGGGCUGGCCCAGCUUCUCAAUAAGUUAGUCCCUGGCCCUUUUCUGUGUGGGAAGGCAGAACUACGCCUCGAUCGCCUGCUGGACCAGCUGUGAGAUGCUUGAGGGCAGAGAGCAUUUGUGUCAAUUUCAGCAUGAAGCUGACACUUAGUAAAUGUUUAUAAAGUUGGCCAAAUUCACCAAUGCUCUUCCUAUGUUUCUGUGGGUUUUUCAAACAUUUCUCUUUCUCCAGGAAAGAACUGUUGGUCUUCUGGGGAGAAUUACCCUGUCCCAAUUUUUCUUGUCUUCACAAACAUUUACAAAUAGAAUUUUAACUUAAAAAUUGGUAUUUGAACUUAAAAAGUAACCAAAUUACAAGUCUUGUUUGACUUUCAAACUCACAAAGCUACAGAAACAAAAAUACCAAGUCCACUGUAGACAGAGCCCCACGUACAAUGUGUUCUGCCUCAUUUUCAGUUAAUGGACCACAUCCAUUGUUCUCUGAAAGAGGAAAUUCCACUGUUAACUGCCAGAGAGAAAAUAGGCUUCUCCUUUGCACUCAAGAGUCUGGCUAAACAAUCUUUGCCCGUCUAUAAAACGGCAGCCUCUGGCUGCAGGAUAUUUUCUCCACAGAGAAAAGUGAGGACAGAAUACAUUUUGAAGGGUGGUUGUGUCUCGACACCUUGUUGACUGGUGCCUCAAAGGCUUUUAGGUCACUUGUACCGAACACGGAAGAAAAUAGGGCUGUGUAAUUGGCCAGGAAAUGAAGGCACACGAUCUGUUUGCACCGCCAUUAUCUAAUGGAGGUCACUAUGUCCAACUGGAACUAAGGUUAAUCACUCUGUCAGACGUGCCUGUGGAGACACGGGAUGAGUUGUUUUGCUUGCCUCUGAAUCCAGACUGAAGUGGACCGCUGUCUCAUUUACUCUGGGUUAUGGUGGCGGAUUUAUUAUAGUCCAGUAGGUUUCCCUCCUUCCCCUCCCCUCUCCUCUCCUCUCCUCAACCUGUCUCUCCCCUUUUCCCCUCUCCUCCCCCACCUUUUCCUUCCCUUUUUCCUGGACUCCACCCUGACCCAAAGGAAGGGGGAUAUCUGGAAUCUGAUGACUACAUAUUGAAAGUGUCUUUGUUUUCCAAAGUGCAGUGAGCUAAAAAAAAAAAAACUGAGGACUAUUUCUUCAUAAAAUACUAACAAUUCUAAGAUCAUUUAAAAAUUCAGCAAGUGUAGAUUUUAUCUCUCAAGGAAGACUUCUGGAGUGUGAAAGUUCAGGCUGAUUGCACCUGAAUCCUCUUCAGUCUCUGCAUUACUGGCAUCUGUCAGUGUUUUGUCAUGGCAGGGUUUUACAGCUGGUGGAGAAGUUAGCACAGGUUCAUCUCUCAGAAGUGAACAAACAGCCUGUUUGAUGCCUCACUGUUAGUUGAGCCUGGUCACUCUCUGGGUCAGUAAACUAUUGCACUUUCAAUUCCCGGAAAGUGAUCUGGUGUAGUGAAGAAGGCCACGGGCUUUGUAAACAGGAGGGCCCGGGUUUGAUUUAGGGCCCCAUGGUCAUAUCCUCUGGACUUCUUUAGUUUUCUCAUAUGUAAAGUGGGAAUAACACUAAUAAUUAUGUCAUGUUGUUAGAGCAGGCAGAUAGCUAGAUAUGAGCAGAGAAAGGGAAACACAGACCAAAUGGCAGACAUUGGGCAGAAAGGAGAGACACAGGCCAAAUGCAGGAAACCCUACAUCAUGUGAGCACCAGGGGUCCCUGGGCAGAGAAAGAAAAGCAGGAACCUCUGGGCUGAUAAGUGGUCAUAGUUUGGGGGUGACAAGUGGCAUAGAGGCCAACAAAGAAAGGUGGGAAAAGGCAGGAAUCUCCAGUGUCUGAAUGUAACUUUUUGCUCAUUAUGUCCUCAUUUCAAUAAAAUUAGCCUUGCAGACUAGAAGUACCCAUCAAGCACCGAUGCCACGACACUUCCAAUCCAGACUGAAAAAGGACAAAAAUACCUCCUCCCCACCACAAGGUGGGGUUGAGACGAAAAUCAGGGAAUAUGACCCCAAGCCCUUCCCUCCCCAGUCAAUAUUCCAUCCAUUCAUUUUUACACCCUGUGUAACCAACUUGCCAAAGAAACUCAGGGCAGCCGCUCACCUGAGUCUGCCCACUCUCCCCUGAGAGUGUACUAUCCACUCCUUAAUAAAUCGUCACUUUACUUUCUUAA